GAUGAACGCUAGCUACAGGCUUAACACAUGCAAGUCGAGGGGUAACGAGAGGGAAGCUUGCUUUCCUUGUCGACGACCGGCGCAUGGGUGAGUAACGCGUAUCCAACCUGCCCCCAACGCGGGAAUAACCUUGCGAAAGUAAGACUAAUACCCUAUAAUUUCCUCAUAUGCUAUCUGACGAGGAAUAAAGAUUUAUCGGUUGAGGAAGGGGAUGCGUCUGAUUAGCUUGUUGGCGGGGUAACGGCCCACCAAGGCAACGAUCAGUAGGGGUUCUGAGAGGAAGGUCCCCCACAUUGGAACUGAGACACGGUCCAAACUCCUACGGGAGGCAGCAGUGAGGAAUAUUGGUCAAUGGGCGGAAGCCUGAACCAGCCAAGUAGCGUGCAGGAUGACGGCCCUAUGGGUUGUAAACUGCUUUUAUACAGGAAUAAAGUUAGCCACGUGUGGUUAUUUGUAGGUACUGUAUGAAUAAGGACCGGCUAAUUCCGUGCCAGCCGCCGCGGUAA
rnacentral:rRNA from 1 species